AGUGAACGCUGGCGGUAGGCCUAACACAUGCAAGUCGAACGGCAGCACAGGAGAGCUUGCUCUCUGGGUGGCGAGUGGCGGACGGGUGAGGAAUACAUCGGAAUCUACUCUGUCGUGGGGGAUAACGUAGGGAAACUUACGCUAAUACCGCAUACGACCUACGGGUGAAAGCAGGGGACCUUCGGGCCCUGCGCGAUUGAAUGAGCCGAUGUCGGAUUAGCUAGUUGGCGGGGUAAAGGCCCACCAAGGCGACGAUCCGUAGCUGGUCUGAGAGGAUGAUCAGCCACACUGGAACGGAGACACGGUCAAGACGCCUACGGGAGGCAGCAGUGGGGAAUAUUGGACAAGGGGCGCAAGCCUGAUCCAGCCAUACCGCGUGGGUGAAGAAGGCAUUCGGGUUGUAAAGCCCUUUUGUUGGGAAAGAAAUCCAGCUGGCUAAUACCCGGUUGGGAUGACGGUACCCAAAGAAUAAGCACCGGCUAACUUCGUGCCAGCCGCCGCGGUAA
rnacentral:rRNA from 1 species